AUUGAACGCUGGCGGCGUGCUUAACACAUGCAAGUCGAACGAAGUGGCGAACGGGUGAGUAACGCGUAAUCAACCUGCCCUUCAGAGGGGGACAACAGUUGGAAACGACUGCUAAUACCGCAUACUGAAGGAGGGGAUUGCGUCUGCUUGGCUAGGUGGCGGGGUAACGGCCCACCAAGGCGAGGAGCAGUAGCCGGGCUGAGAGGAUGAACGGCCACAUGGGGACGGGGACACGGCCCAGACUUCUACGGGAGGCAGCAGGGGGGAAUCUUCCGCAAUGGACGGAAGUCCGACUGAGCAACGCCGCGUGAGUGAGGAAGGCCUUCGGGUUGUAAAGCUCUGUUAAUCGGGACGCGGUACCGGAAUAGAAAGCCACGGCUAACUACGUGCCAGCAGCCGCGGUAAUAC
rnacentral:rRNA from 1 species